GACGAACGCUGGCGGCGUGCUUAACACAUGCAAGUCGAACGAAGUGGCGGACGGGUGAGUAACGCGUAAUCAACCUGCCCUUCAGAGGGGGACAACAGUUGGAAACGACUGCUAAUACCGCAUACUGAAGGUGGGGAUUGCGUCUGAUUAGCUAGUUGGGGGGGUAACGGCCCACCAAGGCGAUGAUCAGUAGCCGGUCUGAGAGGAUGGACGGCCACAUUGGGGCUGGAACACGGCCCAGACUCCUACGGGAGGCAGCAGUGGGGAAUCUUCCGCAAUGGACGAAAAUUUGACGGGGCAACGCCGCGUGAGUGAUGACGGCCUUCGGGUUGUAAAGCUCUGUUAAUCGGGACGCGGUACCGGAAUAGAAAGCCACGGCUAACUACGUGCCAGCAGCCGCGGUAAUUC
rnacentral:rRNA from 1 species